rnacentral:rRNA from 1 species
GACGAACGCUGGCGGCGUGCUUAACACAUGCAAGUCGAACGGAAAGGCCCCCUUGUGGGGUACUCGAGUGGCGAACGGGUGAGUAACACGUGAGUAACCUACCCUUGACUUUGGGAUAACUUCAGGAAACUGGGCCUAAUCCCGGAUGGGACCUCCUCCUGCUGGGUGGGGGUGGAAAGGUUCGGCGGUUGGGGAUGGGAUUGCGGCUUAUCAGCUUGUUGGUGGGGUAGUGGCUCACCAAGGCUUUGACGGGUAGCCGGCCUGAGAGGGUGACCGGCCACAUUGGGACUGAGAUACGGCCCAGACUCCUACGGGAGGCAGCAGUGGGGAAUAUUGCACAAUGGGCGGAAGCCUGAUGCAGCAACGCCGCGUGCGGGAUGACGGCCUUCGGGUUGUAAACCGCUUUCGCCUGUGACGAAGCGUGAGUGACGGUAAUGGGUAAAGAAGCACCGGCUAACUACGUG